rnacentral:rRNA from 1 species
GCUAAACGCGAAGAACCUUACCUACUCUUGACAUCCAGAGAACUUAGCAGAGAUGCUUUGGUGCCUUCGGGAACUCUGAGACAGGUGCUGCAUGGCUGUCGUCAGCUCGUGUUGUGAAAUGUUGGGUUAAGUCCCGCAACGAGCGCAACCCUUAUCCUUUGUUGCCAGCGGUCCGGCCGGGAACUCAAAGGAGACUGCCAGUGAUAAACUGGAGGAAGGUGGGGAUGACGUCAAGUCAUCAUGGCCCUUACGAGUAGGGCUACACACGUGCUACAAUGGCGCAUACAAAGAGAAGCGACCUCGCGAGAGCAAGCGGACCUCAUAAAGUGCGUCGUAGUCCGGAUUGGAGUCUGCAACUCGACUCCAUGAAGUCGGAAUCGCUAGUAAUCGUAGAUCAGAAUGCUACGGUGAAUACGUUCCCGGGUCUUGUACACACC